GUACACUCCUACGGGAGGCAGCAGUGGGGAAUAUUGGACAAUGGGCGCAAGCCUGAUCCAGCCAUGCCGCGUGAGUGAUGAAGGCCCUAGGGUUGUAACGCUCUUUCACCGGUGAAGAUAAUGACGGUAACCGGAGAAGAAGCCCCGGCUAACUUCGUGCCAGCAGCCGCGGUAAUACGAAGGGGGCUAGCGUUGUUCGGAUUUACUGGGCGUAAAGCGCACGUAGGCGGACUAUUAAGUCAGGGGUGAAAUCCCGGGGCUCAACCCCGGAACUGCCUUUGAUACUGGUAGUCUUGAGUUCGAGAGAGGUGAGUGGAAUUCCGAGUGUAGAGGUGAAAUUCGUAGAUAUUCGGAGGAACACCAGUGGCGAAGGCGGCUCACUGGCUCGAUACUGACGCUGAGGUGCGAAAGCGUGGGGAGCAAACAGGAUUAGAAACCCUAGUAGUCCCA
rnacentral:rRNA from 1 species